UAUCAGACAUCGUAUUUCAACCAGAGGAGACAGGACCCCUCGACCGCCUGAGCAGCAGCACGUCGCGCCAGCACCACCGCCGCAUCGCGAGCCUGCGAGCCGCCGCAUCACUGCAUCUCGUGCCCGUGAGCCGCCGCACGCCGCACCUCUGCAUCGACCGACCACCGCUCGUUUGCAGCCCACCUCUGCAUCGCGCGACUGGAACCGCCGCACCGCUGCACCUUGUGCUCUUGAGCCGCCGCACGCCGCACCUCUGCAUCGACCGCUCGUUGCAGCCCGCUUCUGUAUCGAGACUGUGACCGCGGCCGGCCCGCCGCACGCCCGAACCUCUGCAUCGACUGGUCGUUUGCCACCCACCGCUCCUCUGCAGUUCAACG
rnacentral:lncRNA from 1 species